AACGAACGCUGGCGGCAGGCUUAACACAUGCAAGUCGAGCGCCCCGCAAGGGGAGCGGCAGACGGGUGAGUAACGCGUGGGAAUCUACCCAUCUCUACGGAACAACUCUGGGAAACUGGAGCUAAUACCGUAUACGUCCUUCGGGAGAAAGAUUUAUCGGAGAUGGAUGGGCCCGCGUUGGAUUAGCUAGUUGGUGGGGUAAUGGCCUACCAAGGCGACGAUCCAUAGCUGGUCUGGGAGGAUGAUCAGCCACACUGGGACUGAGACACGGCCCAGACUCCUACGGGAGGCAGCAGUGGGGAAUAUUGGACAAUGGGCGAAAGCCUGAUCCAGCCAUGCUGCGUGAGUGAUGAAGGCCCUAGGGUUGUAAAGCUCUUUCACCGGUGAAGAUAAUGACGGUAACCGGAGAAGAAGCCCCGGCUAACUUCGUGCCAGCCGCCGCUGUAA
rnacentral:rRNA from 1 species